UUGUGGAGGAGGACGCCGAAGGUGGGGCUAAUGACUGGGGUGAAGUCGUAACAAGGUAGCCGUACCGGAAGGUGCGGCUGGAUCACCUCCUAACAGGGAGACAACAAAAUGUUUAAUAUUAUUAUUUUGUCACCUUAGGUCGAUCGGUAUCUCACAUUCUUAAUUUAUUAAGGAUUUCAUUUCCUAAGUUUUUCUAGGUCACACCCAUUAUUUUUCCUGGGCCAUUAGCUCAGGUGGUUAGAGCGCACCCCUGAUAAGGGUGAGGUCCCUGGUUCAAGUCCAGGAUGGCCCAUAUCUCUAUGUUGGGGGUAUAGCUCAGUUGGUAGAGCGCCUGCUUUGCAAGCAGGAUGUCAGCGGUUCGAGUCCGCUUACCUCCACUGAUUACCACCUCUUUCAUAAUUUCUAAAAAGGAAAUGUAUUGAGUUGUGAUCAAUUCUGAACGAAUCUAGCUUCCUAAUGAAAUCAUUAAGAUGCUGGACUCAUUGAAUUAAUUUCAUUGUUUUCAGAGAACCUUGACAACUGCAUAGAUUAUUUUUAAAGACAAUAAGCAUCUUUUAAUGAUGCAGAUUUAUUAUUGGUGCAAAUGCAUUAAUAACAAUUCUAUUAAGCUGAUGCUUCAAUUAUUGAAGUUAUUGGUCAAGCUACAA
rnacentral:misc_RNA from 1 species